rnacentral:rRNA from 1 species
UACGUAGGUGACAAGCGUUGUCCGGAUUUACUGGGCGUAAAGAGCGCGCAGGCGGUCGUUCAAGUCGAGUGUGAAAGCCCCCGGCUCAACUGGGGAGGGUCAUUCGAUACUGAUCGACUCGAAGGCAGGAGAGGGAAGUGGAAUUCCCGGUGUAGUGGUGAAAGUGCGAUAGAUAUCGGGAGGAACACCAGUGGCGAAGGCAAUCCCCUGGGCCUGCACUGACGCUCAUGCACGAAGCGUGGGGAGCAAACAGG